CGCGCAGCGCGGCCGCGCAUGGGCGGAUGGGCUCCGCGCUCUUGGCGCGGCGGAUGAAUCCGGGGCUCGGCGGGCCGCGCCCGGAGCGCGGGGCUCUCACGGGCCGCUCCCUCCCGCUCCGCCCAUGGCCUCCCCGCUGGAGGACCCCGUCCUGAUCCGGCCUUUCCGCGGCCACACGGCGGCGGUGACGGGCGUCGCCUUCGACGCGAACGCGGCGGAGAUGGUUACCUGCUCUGUGGACAGGCUUCUCAUAUUGUGGAAGCUGAAGACACAGUGCAGCGCCUACGGAUUUUCAGGCCAUGCGGAAGCGGUGACAAGUGUAGAGUUCUCACCAGAUGGGCAGGUGCUGGCUUCAGCUUCUCAGGAUCACACUGUCAGGCUAUGGAUUCCUUGCAUUCAUGGAGAAUCAUCAGUACUGAAAGGUCAUACAGCAUCUGUUCGGAGUGUGAGCUUCUCCCACGAUGGCUACUCUGUAGUUUCAGCAUCCAAUGAUAAAUUAAUAAAAAUAUGGAGUGUUUGCUAUCAGCGCCUUUUGUUUACCCUCUUCCAACACACUGGUUGGGUUUGCUGUGCCAAAUUUUCACCGGAUGGAAGAUUAAUAGCAUCUUGUGGUGAGGACAAAUCUAUUAAGAUCUGGGAUACAAGAAAUAAAAUUUGCAUUAAUACCUUCUCAGAUUAUGAAGGAUUUCCAACUUUUGUGGAUUUCAACCCAAGUGGAACAUGUAUAGCUUCUGCAGGUUCCAAUAACACAGUGAAACUAUGGGAUAUUCGAAUGAACAAGCUACUGCAGCAUUUCAAAGUUCACAGAGCAGGGGUUAAUUGUAUAUCAUUCCAUCCUUCUGGUAACUACCUCAUCACUGCUUCUUCUGAUGGUACCCUUAAGAUUCUGGACCUCUUAGGAGAAAGACUUAUUUACACUCUUCAUGGACACAAGGGACCUGUACUUUGUGUGGCUUUUUCAAAAGGUGGUGAAAAUUUUGCCUCAGGUGGAGUGGAUGCUCAGGUAUUACUAUGGAAAACCAACUUUGAUGCUUUGGAUUAUGAAGAAGUAAUCAAACACAAUUUUAGAAGAACACAUAUUGAUGAUCCUCCUCAUCUUCUUGAUGUUUAUCCAAGGUCAUCUCAUUUCCAUGAUGAAAAAUGUAAGUCAGUUGAGGUCGACCCUACCUUUGAUGUGCCUGAUAUACAAACACCUGACCCAGUUAUCAUCGAUAUUAGAACAUCUUCAUAUCUCAAUACUUCUGUAAGUUGCUUUAAGAAAAAAGAAAAAGAAAAAGGGAGUAAACAUGCCUUCAAGAAAUUCCUCUGAGUUUGUUGAUCAACCUCUUUUCAUUGUAAAUUCAUGUUGAAUAUGGAUAUACUAGGUGACUUUGAAUGAGAUAGAGGAAGUGCUGUCCUUUAUAUAUAAUUUAAGACUCUGUACAACAAACUCACUGCUACCAGGUAUUGCUUCUUUCUAAAGUUCAGUUAGACUUUUCUAGCUAGGUAUUGGUCUAAAGGCUUUCAUUCAGUUUUUUUUAGGUAGGGGAAAGAGGACAGAAAGGAGUCAUGAGCAGGCAAGCCAGAAGAAUGGCUGUCGUUUCUCUGAUUAGGUAUGUUCCUGGUGAGGAUGCUCUACUCUCACUCACACCCUGCCUCCUUCCUCCCACGUACUUAAUGCCCUUUGUCAAUCCCCACGAUCCGCUAUUUGAAGUACAGGGAGUUUGCCCACAUGUUAGGAAAGUCCUUUGUUUUUAUUCAUUAACAUUUGUAAUAUCAAAAAUAGCAGAAUAUUCUAUUUAUAGUGGUAGAAAGGAGGUCUUGUCCACAUAGAGUUAUUAAGUAUCUAUUUUUACUUCCUUCUACUAAGCGUUUCAUUAUAUAUUCAGUUUCUGUUACAAGUAUUCCUCCUGCCCUCCUUUAGCUUUUCUCUGCCCUGGAAUGGGUAAGAAGUUCAAGCAGAGUCUGUGAUACAAUUUUUAUUAGGACUCUGUGCAGGUAAAAAGGCACCAUAAUAGAAACUUUUUUUCAGUUUUAGCCAUAAGAUGUCCCCUUGGGUGUGCAUGCAAGCAGUCCUAAGUAAUUUGCCUAAAUUAAACUUGGCUACUUUAUUUCAUAAUUGUAAAUAGUAGGAAAUGCUUCUGUAGUGUCAUGUUGUUUUUCCUUAGUUUUACAAAGCUUCUUGCUGAAGCUGAAGAUAUACUGGAGGUAAUUGAUUACCUUUCUUUGCCUUUCUUCUACAGGGUACACUUUUAUAUUUUGGUGCCCAUGGUGCAAGUGUUUUUAUAACUUAUGAAAGUGUUUAAGUAUGGUCUUCUUGAACUGUUACAUUUGAAUUGACUUCCUGACAGGGGAUUCUCACCUUUGGAAAUUGAACCUCCAAUGAUUUCUGCCUGGGUGUUGGCAGAAGUGAAGAACUGCUGAGUCCCUCUGCUUCUUCCUCAGCAAGAAGUUCAAAAAGAAAGGCAGAGAGGGAGAGUGGGUCAGCUGUGCUUAGUGUGGGACAGCACAGAGGCAUCUCCUCCUCCG